UGGGGAAUAUUGGUCAAUGGGGGAAACCCUGAACCAGCAACGCCGCGUGAAGGAUGAAGGCCCUCGGGUUGUAAACUUCUUUGACGCAGGAAGAAACAAAUGACGGUACUGCGAAAACAAGCCACGGCUAACUACGUGCCAGCAGCCGCGGUAAUACGUAGGUGGCAAGCGUUGUCCGGAAUGACUGGGUGUAAAGGGCGUGUAGGCGGGAUGCCAAGUCCGAUGUGAAAUGCCACGGCUCAACCGUGGACCUGCAUUGGAAACUGGCAUUCUUGAGUGAUGGAGAGGCAGGCGGAAUUCCCGGUGUAGCGGUGGAAUGCGUAGAUAUCGGGAGGAACACCAGUGGCGAAGGCGGCUUGCUGGACAUUAACUGACGCUGAGGCGCGAAAGCGUGGGGAGCAAACA
rnacentral:rRNA from 1 species